rnacentral:rRNA from 1 species
GCUUAGAGUUUGAUCCUGGCUCAGAACGAACGCUGGCGGCACGCCUAACACAUGCAAGUCGAACGAAGCACUUGAGCUUGCUCUUGUGACUUAGUGGCGAACGGGUGAGUAACACGUGGGAAUCUACCUAUUGGUGGGGGAUAACUUUUGGAAACGAAAGCUAAUACCGCAUAAGCCCUUCGGGGGAAAGAUUUAUCGCCAAUACAUGAGCCCGCGGUAGAUUAGGUAGUUGGUGAGGUAACGGCUCACCAAGCCGAUGAUCUAUAGCUGGUCUGAAAGGAUGAUCAGCCACACUGGGACUGAGACACGGCCCAGACUCCUACGGGAGGCAGCAGUGAGGAAUCUUGGACAAUGGGGGGAACCCUGAUCCGGCGAUGCCGCGUGAGUGAAGAAGGCCCUAGGGUUGUAAAACUCUUUCAAUCGGGAAGAUGAUGACGGUACCGAUAGAAGAAGCACCGGCUAACUCCGUGCCAGCAACCGCGGUAAUACAGAAGGUGCUAGCGUUGUUCGGAAUUACUGGGCGUAAAGCGUGCAUAGGCGGCCCAUUAAGUCAAACGUGAGAGCCCCGAGCUCAACUUGGGAACUGCGUUUGAUACUGGUGAGCUAGAGUUCUAGAGAGGUAAGUGGAAUUCCUAGUGUAGAGGUGAAAUUCGUAGAUAUUAGGAGGAACACCACAGGCGAAGGCGGCUUACUGGAUAGACACUGACGCUGAGGUACGAAAGCGUGCGGAGCAAACAGGAUUAGAUACCCUGGUAGUCCACGCCGUAGACGAUGAGUGCUAGAUGU